rnacentral:lncRNA from 1 species
AGAGUUCGCCAACUCACUUUCGGGUUGCUAUAGUGUUUUCAGGACAUUCGGAAAGAGAGCCCGAAAUGACUUUAGUAACUCCUGCAGCAUUGCACUACACAUCUGGGUGCCCAGUUCAUCAUUCGAGCGUCAGAAAGUGGCCAGAAUUUCAAUUCUAGCUGAUUUCCAUACUCCAGAUCCGUUUUCGCAUCCAUUUCGCACCAAAACGACUCCGACUCAACUGACACUCUACAGAUGUGUCUGUUGGGAUCAAAAAAAUUUUAAAAUUCAAAUUGAGAAUAUAGAAGGAAUGAAAUAAAUAAAUUGAGGUGAUUAAUACUUGCCUUAGAUGACCAACCAUAAAAGAGGAAAGAAAAUAAGA